rnacentral:rRNA from 1 species
UACGGCGGGGGCUAGCGUUGUUCGGAAUUACUGGGCGUAAAGCGCGCGUAGGCGGACCUGCAAGUCGGGGGUGAAAGCCCGAGGCUCAACCUCGGAACUGCCUUCGAUACUGCGGGUCUCGAGUCCGGGAGAGGUGAGUGGAAUUCCUAGUGUAGAGGUGAAAUUCGUAGAUAUUAGGAAGAACACCAGUGGCGAAGGCGGCUCACUGGCCCGGUACUGACGCUGAGGCGCGAAAGCGUGGGGAGCAAACAGG